UCUCAGCUCUGCAGGCGGCCAGCCCCCAGGCUGGGCUGGGCGAGUAUCUCUUCGGAAGACUCACCCCCAAGCACGACCAGGAGC
rnacentral:pre_miRNA from 1 species